rnacentral:rRNA from 1 species
UACACUCCUACGGGAGGCAGCAGUGGGGAAUAUUGGACAAUGGGCGCAAGCCUGAUCCAGCCAUGCCGCGUGAGUGAUGAAGGCCCUAGGGUUGUAAAGCUCUUUCACCGGUGAAGAUAAUGACGGUAACCGGAGAAGAAGCCCCGGCUAACUUCGUGCCAGCAGCCGCGGUAAUACGAAGGGGGCUAGCGUUGUUCGGAUUUACUGGGCGUAAAGCGCACGUAGGCGGACUAUUAAGUCAGGGGUGAAAUCCCGGGGCUCAACCCCGGAACUGCCUUUGAUACUGGUAGUCUUGAGUUCGAGAGAGGUGAGUGGAAUUCCGAGUGUAGAGGUGAAAUUCGUAGAUAUUCGGAGGAACACCAGUGGCGAAGGCGGCUCACUGGCUCGAUACUGACGCUGAGGUGCGAAAGCGUGGGGAGCAAACAGGAUUAGAAACCCCGGUAGUCCCAUGA